GUUCUCACUUUAGCAGCCCAUCUACAAAAAUUGGAAGAUUACAGAGAAGAUUAGCAUGGCCCCUGUGUCGGAAUAACAUGAAAAUUCGUAAAGUAUUUUAAAAGGAU
ensembl:snRNA U6 U6 spliceosomal RNA